rnacentral:lncRNA from 1 species
GAAAAGGGGCAACAGAGGGGAUUUGGGGAUUGAUUUUAUUUUUUCUUUUCAUUUUUCUGUAAUUUUGGCUAUAAAGCCAUUCAAACAUCUGUAAGGGGAUCUCCUCUUUUCACGAUUUCAAGAAAUAAAAGAACAGAUCCAAGGUUUUUUUCUUCAUCAGAUUCGUAGUUCAUUUUUUUAUUUUUUAUUUUUUACAUUAAAUAGAAAAU